rnacentral:rRNA from 1 species
CCUACGGGGGGCAGCAGUGAGGAAUAUUGGUCAAUGGACGCAAGUCUGAACCAGCCAUGCCGCGUGCAGGAAGACGGCUCUAUGAGUUGUAAACUGCUUUUGUACGAGGGUAAACGCAGAUACGCGUAUCUGUCUGAAAGUAUCGUACGAAUAAGGAUCGGCUAACUCCGUGCCAGCAGCCGCGGUAAUACGGAGGAUUCAAGCGUUAUCCGGAUUUAUUGGGUUUAAAGGGUGCGUAGGCGGUCGGAUAAGUUAGAGGUGAAAUCCCGAGGCUCAACUUCGGAAUUGCCUCUGAUACUGUUCGGCUAGAGAGUAGUUGCGGUAGGCGGAAUGUAUGGUGUAGCGGUGAAAUGCUUAGAGAUCAUACAGAACACCGAUUGCGAAGGCAGCUUACCAAGCUACUUCUGACGUUGAGGCACGAAAGCGUGGGGAGCGAACAGGAUUAGAUACCCCUGUAGUC